rnacentral:rRNA from 1 species
AGGGCACCACCAGGAGUGGAGCCUGCGGCUUAAUUUGACUCAACACGGGAAAACUCACCCGGCCCGGACACUGGAAGGAUUGACAGAUUGAGAGCUCUUUCUUGAUUCAGUGGGUGGUGGUGCAUGGCCGUUCUUAGUUGGUGGAGUGAUUUGUCUGGUUAAUUCCGAUAACGAACGAGACUCUAGCCUACUAAAUAGAUCGUCGGCUUACAAACGCCGACGAGACUUCUUAGAGGGACAGGCGGCGAUUCAGCCGCACGAAACAGAGCAAUAACAGGUCUGUGAUGCCCUUAGAUGUCCGGGGCCGCACGCGCGCUACACUGAAGUGAUCAGCGUGCUUUUCAACCUACUCUGUCAAGAGGUGGGGAACCCAAUGAACCUUCUUCGUGAUUGGGAUAGGGGAUUGUAAUUAAUCCCCUUGAACGAAGGAAUUCCCAGUAAGGCGCGAGGUCAUAAGCUCGCCUUGGAUUACGUCCCUGCCUUUGAAAAACGCCCGUCGUUCCUACGAUGGAAGUUUUA